rnacentral:rRNA from 1 species
UGCGUGACCAACCUGCCCCAUGCUCCAGAAUAGCUCUUGGAAACGGGUGGUAAUGCUGGAUGCUCCAACUUGACGCAUGUCUUGUUGGGAAAGUGUUUAGUGGCAUGGGAUGGGGUCGCGUCCUAUCAGCUUGUAGGCGGGGUAAUGGCCCACCUAGGCUUCGACGGGUAGCCGGCCUGAGAGGGCGGACGGCCACAUUGGGACUGAGAUACGGCCCAGACUCCUACGGGAGGCAGCAGC